CGCCAUCACAUAUGUUCAGAGGCUGAUGAACUGAAAAGAUCUGGGAGCCACAUGUGACCAGUAGAAUGAGCAUCAGCCUAGCAUAGAGUUUCAGUGGGAGAUGACUUUUGGGAAAGUUCCCACAGAAAUGCCAUUGUAGCAUUUCUGUCCUUACUGGGCCUGAUUUCAUUUAUUCUGAGGCUUCCUCACGUGUUCCUGGCACUGCAAUGAGACCUUAAAGCGGGUAUAAAGCACAUUUGCGAUCACAUUGAGGCCCUUUGGCAUUGCCAGAAGGGUGUGAAAGGGCUGCUCAUGUCAAGAAGAAUCUGGCCCACUAUGUUUAUCCGUACAGUAGCUUCUGCUGAGUCAGAGUCUGCCUCACAGCCAGGAAAAAGGAAGGGCUUGUUUUCAUUAGGGGACAUCAAUGCUAUCUGGUGGUUGCAGAUCACCGGAGCUAAAAGCAUGCUGAGGGAGGAUCACAGAAGACUUUGUGGAACUCCAAAGCAGGAAUACUUCGGUGUGAUGAAGGACACAGUUGGAAAGAUGAUAUUUUCAAUAAUACAGCAGCCUCUCUUUAGGGCUUAAUCUCCCAAAAGUGGAGAGUAGGAGCUGAUCCUUCUCCUAUGAGAAGAGAAGGAAAAGACCUCAGGAGGCUGUGACAACCAUGCAAGAAGUCCGCAUAAGGAACAAGAGCACGGAUGCACCAGAAGCCUCCUGGGCUCCCCACCAAUAAGGUGCAGAGUACAGGGGCUGCCUGCCUCCCCACCUCUGAGGGGCUGUAAGUGGUGACACUGCUGAGCUCCAGAAACUGGGAAUAGCGCAGGAGGCUGCUAGGAAACUACUGAUACCCCUGAGGAAGGGCUUGAGGCUGGUGUCCAAUCAUGUUUUCCUGUAUUGGGUCAUUGUGAGUCCAGCUCUUGUCCCGGGAGUGAUCUGCUCCAAGCUUUUCUUAGCACAGGGUGAUGUCAGCUGCUCAGGAGUGUUUCCAGAGUCAAGCUUCUCAAGCUUCAGCUGCUUGCUUUUGUGGGACUAGGUGUUUACAGAAGCUGACCCUGUGACCCACCACCUACCAGCACACGUCUCCUCCGGUACUGCUGAGGACACCACUGCAGCCAGCACUGGUUUGGAUAGCAAAAAUUGGAUGUGAAGCUGACAGAACAGGAUCAGGAGGCUUUGGUUUGCACCACAGCUGCAGGCAACCACUGCAUCCUGACGUGGACCAGUGAGACAUCCCUGAAUGCCUCCUUUGUUUCAUGCCAGGGAGUUUCUUUGGAUAAAGCUGAUCAAAGGAAAGUGUUAUUCCAUACACUGCAGCAUGAGUCUGCCUGAAAACUAACUUCUGUAAUUUCUUUUAUGGCUCUUAUGCCCUCUGGAGUUCCUACAACGAGUUUUCCUUGCCUUUUGGUUAAGGUGACCCAGAAAGUUUUUUCCCAGACGUGUUUUGCUCAAGAUGCAAUGAGCUUUUAUUCUUCCUCUUUACCUGUACCUUUUCAUGUGAUUGGGCACUGGGAUAUCACAUGGUGAAGUGGGGGGUUAAGUAAUUUCCUUUCUCCUUAAGAUCUCAACACUUUUAUUGUGUACUUGAAUUACACAUUCCUUGCUUCAGGCUGCUUUUCCUUGCCACAGCUUUUUGAAGACACUGGCAAAAUUUGGACUCUUAGCACUUCUUGCAAUGUAACGUAAUUUUAUCAGGUAAGUGUGGACCUCCUGCAGACCCUAAUACUCUGAAGGAAGGCAACUGCUCAAAGGAUGCCAAGUUCAGUGCGUGAGCACUGUUAAUUUUGAUGGCAAAGUCCCCAAUGGUAAACAUUUGUGAGAGUACCACAUGUCUUAGAUGCAAAGCCUGCCUGAUAAUACAAAAUUAUCUUAGACUUAAACAGAACUAGGAUUUAAAGUUUUGGUUUCAAAAAUAAGCUAGAAAUUGAGCUACUGAUACAAACCUGUGUGAUCAGGAACCUGAAUUUGUAGCUUGAUGCAUACGAUGAAGUGAAAAUGCUCAGGAAGGCUCUGGAAAAAUUUCCCUUUUCCCUCACCUUCUCUUCUCACUUAUUUGAUUGACUGUGGAGUACUGUGUUUAUCACCCACCUUGGAAUGCCUGGAAGUCUGAGAUGACUUCUAGGAUUUUGAGUCUGGAAAGCAUUUUAAGGCUCCAAAGACAGGCUCUGC